AGAUGUAACGGGGCUAAAACUAUGUGCCGAAGCUGCGGAUGUAUACUUUGUAUACGUGGUAGGGGAGCGUUCUGUAAGCCGAUGAAGGUGUGUUGAGAAGCAUGCUGGAGGUAUCAGAAGUGCGAAUGCUGACGUGAGUAACGACAAAACGGGUGAAAAACCCGUUCGCCGAAAGACCAAGGGUUCCAGUCCAACGUUAAUCGGGGCUGGGUGAGUCGACCCCUAAGGCGAGGCCGAAAGGCGUAGUCGAUGGGAAAAUGGUUAAUAUUCCAUUACUUCUGUGU
rnacentral:rRNA from 1 species